CUGCAACCCUGAAAUCCAGUCAGCUGUUUUUCGGGCGGUAAGCGGAGCACAAAUUGAGGAGAUUUUUGUGGACCAUUUAAAAUAAAAAAAAAAAGGAUGGAAGUUAAAGAAGAAAUCCCUGUCCGGAGCAAAACAGUUACAGUAUGGACUGAAGGCGAAACGCUGCUUCUGCUGGAUAAGUACACUUCCUAUUUUCCGGACAUUGGCCCCUUCAAGCAAUUAAAAACAAAGAGGGACAUGUGGAUGAAGAUUUCUGCGGAGUUCGACGGGAAAAGUUGGAAGCAGUGUGAAGAAAGGUACAAGACCAUCAUGAAACGUAAAAAGGCGCCAGGGAAAAAUAACAGCAUCUCAGGUGCAAAACGCCAAAAGUUGCAGUUUGAAGAGAUAGACGAAAUAUGCCAAUGUGGAAUAAAAAAGGUCACAGCAAAAGAAAAGCAAAGAAAGGGGAAAUCGUUGCACGAAACUCUCAUUGAAAUUGCUGCAAGGAAGGAGGAAGCUAGAGAGAGGCGACACAAAGAAAGAAUGGAGAGAGCUGCAAGAAUCGAAAGCCUUAUGGAAAAAUGGAUGGCUGACAGCAAACCACCUGGAAGCUAUGAGUGUGCGAGAUAUAAUACUUAUUGAAUCAGGUUUCCGUGAUUGGAUAUAAAAUACGUGCAACUGCCUUUCGAUUCCGGCCCAACGAUUCUCCAAUUAGCACUUUUACCGGGAUCCCUUCGCUCAUUUACAUCUGUAGGUGCUACUGGUUCGGGUUUCGGAGCGACUUCAAUAGCAACAACGGCACUAGCACUAUGUUCGAUUAAAGUAAGCAAAAUUAUUAUUUUUUAGUUAUAUUUUUAAUUAAUUUUUAUAAUAAUCUCAUUCGAGAACAAAAACCAUA